rnacentral:lncRNA from 1 species
UAACCUCUUGCAAGUGGACACUCCCUAACACCCGCAUGUAUCUGUCUUCUUAUCUUAUCGUGUCUUAUCUUAUCUAGUAUGUAUGUUAUUUAAUUGUUGACCAUGUUCUUACACAAUCAUACAUGAAUUUUUACCUUACUACCAUUAUACAAGUACUAAUUACAUAUACACUCACUCAAUCAUUAUCGUUUACCCAACAAAUCUUCAAAUCAAUAUUCUUUUUGUAGACAAGAACUAUAGACUAUUAUUGUUUUUCGCCAAAUAAUCAUGUAUGCUUUCUUAAUAAUAAAUGUGUCUUCAAGAGAGCUUUUGUUUUCCACCAUUUUGCUUUGUUUUUAUUGAAACUUUUAGGCCCAGUUAUAUGUUAUUUAUCAAGAAAUGAGGUUAUCAAGUUCAUAUGUUGUUCCUUCAUGGUGAUCCGAUAAGGUAUAUGAUAUUGCCAUAUAUAGUUAUACAUUUUACGUGAAAUCUUAGUGUUUUAGCUACAUUUGGUCUUAAAUUAGAGAUAAAAGAUACUUACUAUGUUUAAAUUUUGUUUUGUAGGAGCGAAGUCAUGCUCAAGAUAAAAGGAGCAAAAAUAUGGUGCUAGAAGCAGGAUUGCUGAAAAGAGUCAACAAAGGUCAAAUCAUGGAGGAUUUUUGAAGCACCACGACAUGGUCAUAUGAUUGCAAAGACAUGGUGACGAGACUUGGAUCGAUAUACUUAACGGAUGAUGUGCGAUUUGGAUAACUUGGAGGAUAUGUGAAGGAGUCGAUACCACGACAUGGUCAUAACCUUAUCACGGUAUGGUGACUAAAUUUUGGAAAACUUUAUAAACUCGGAUCUCAUUCAUUAUUAGGAUUAUCCGUCAAGUUUUGGAUGAACCCUAGCGAUCAUAAAGCUUAGAGAAUAUCAGUUGCUAGCAGAGAUCGAUAGUGGAACGAGAUUCAAAGAGAUCAAGAGAUGAAUAGUGAUAAUUAAUUUCGUUUGCUUGUCUUAAACAUGUUUAAUUCAGUUUACUUGUGUUAAUUCAUUUGUCUACUUUAGUUAUGGGCUAAUAACCCUAAACUUUCUAUUAGAGUAGAUCAAGCACAGAUAUAUACGUUGAUUUUGAUAUUUACGUAUUAUUCUUAGUUGUUUAUUAGUUAUGAUUGCUUGGUAAAGAACCUUACAUAUCAAAGUUGUUGCUUUUCCU